UGUCUUCAGGGCGGGGUGCAAUUCCCCACUGGCGGUAAAGUCCGCGACCUGCAUUUUGCAGCUGAAUCGGUGAAAGUCCGGUACCAACAGUAUAGUCUGGAUGGAAGAAGAUG
rnacentral:ncRNA from 1 species